ACCAGACUCCUACGGGAGGCAGCAGUGGGGGAUAUUGCACAAUGGGGGGAACCCUGAUGCAGCGACGCCGCGUGGGUGAAGAAGCGCCUCGGCGCGUAAAGCCCUGUCAGCAGGGAAGAAAAUGACGGUACCUGAAGAAGAAGCCCCGGCUAACUACGUGCCAGCAGCCGCGGUAAUACGUAGGGGGCAAGCGUUAUCCGGAUUUACUGGGUGUAAAGGGGGCGCAGACGGCGAUGCAAGCCAGGAGUGAAAGCCCGGGGCCCAACCCCGGGACUGCUCUUGGAACUGCGUGGCUGGAGUGCAGGAGGGGCAGGCGGAAUUCCUGGUGUAGCGGUGAAAUGCGUAGAUAUCAGGAGGAACACCGGUGGCGAAGGCGGCCUGCUGGACUGCAACUGACGUUGAGGCCCGAAAGCGUGGGGAGCAAACAGGAUUAGAUACCCUGGUACA
rnacentral:rRNA from 1 species